rnacentral:misc_RNA from 1 species
GUUGAAGAACGCAGCGAAAUGCGAUAAGUAGUGUGAAUUGCAGAAUUCAGUGAAUCAUCGAAUCUUUGAACGCACAUUGCGGCCAUAGGUAUUCCUUUGGCCAUGCCUGUUCGAGCGUCAUUUACACCCUCACGCCUAGCUUGGUGUUGGGCGUCUGUCCCGCCGUUUUCGCGCGCGGACUCGCCUCAAAGUCAUUGGCGGCGGUCGUGCCGGCCCCCUCGCGCAGCACAUUUGCGCUUCUCGGAGGCCCGGCGGAUCCGCGCUCCAGCAAGACCUUUCACGACUUGACCUCGGAUCAGGUAGGGAUACCCGCUGAACUUAAGCAUAUCAAUAAGCGGAGGA